rnacentral:rRNA from 1 species
GAACCUUACCUGGGCUCGAACGGGUAGUCAACGGCGGUGGAAACAUCGCUACCCCGCAAGGGGGUCUAUUCGAGGUGCUGCAUGGCUGUCGUCAGCUCGUGUCGUGAGAUGUUGGGUUAAGUCCCGCAACGAGCGCAACCCUUGUCCUGUGUUGCCAUCAUUUAGUUGGGAACUCGCAGGAGACCGCCAGCGAUAAGCUGGAGGAAGGUGGGGAUGACGUCAAGUCCUCAUGGCCUUUAUGUCCAGGGCUACACACGUGCUACAAUGGCCGGUACAAACCGCAGCAAACCCGCGAGGGGGAGCCAAUCGGAAAAAACCGGUCUCAGUUCGGAUUGCAGGCUGCAACUCGCCUGCAUGAAGCUGGAAUCGCUAGUAAUGGCAGAUCAGCACGCUGCCGUGAAUACGUUCCCGGGCCUUGUCACACCGA